CUGGAGUAGAUCAUGUCUCUCUGAUGGAGAUCAAACCAGUGAGUUUGGAUUUAGCGGUUGCCAAGAGAACAACACUUGCCUGACUGUACUAUGUCAACGUACAACGAACUCUGCAUGCUCCAAUAACCUUUUUUAUAAUUUCUCUUUAUGUCUUUAUGCCACAUAAAUGUGGAUCUUAUCUGAAGACUUGCACAUGGUGCUGUUUGGCUGGGCUGCACGUUGUCUUUGUGUUGUCCUUCCAUCCCUGCAGCACCGUGGUUAAGGGUCUCCAUUAUCCCCUUAAUAGGAACCCAUUUUCUCUUUGGUUUCUCUGAAGUCUCUCAGUUUUGUGUUUUUCAGGCUCAUUUAUGUGACAAUCUUUCAGCCAUCAGCACAGCUGUGUAAAUAAAUGACAUCUCUGGAGUUCCCACGGCUUUCCUCUGCUCCUUGGCUACGUUAAAUGAUUUAUAAUUAAACACAAAAAAGCAAUAUGUUAAGAUAGUUUACUGUGCUGCAUGCAUACUAUAAAUGGAUGCAGUACUUCUUUUAUGCAUAAUCCCUUUCUAAAUGUUUGUCCCAUCAUCAUUGGAAUUUUAUGUGAUGCACUAACAAGUAGAACAAUUUUAAGGAAUAAGUUGUUCAAAAAAUAAAAAGAGAAAUCUUUUUGU